rnacentral:rRNA from 1 species
GGUAAGCAGAACUGGCGAUGAGGGAUGAACCUAACGCUUAGAUAAGGUUCCUAAGUAUGCAUUCAUGAGAUCCCACAAAAGGUGUUGGUUCAUUAACACAGCAGGACAGUGGCCCUGGAAGUCGGAAUCUGCUAAGUAGUGUGUAACAACUAACCUGCCGAAUGAACUAGCCCUGAAAAUUUACGGAGCUAAAAUGCAUCACCGAUACUAAGCCAUUACAGCAAAUUUGAGGCUGUGAUGAGUAAGAGGGCGUGUCCGUCUCGUGUAGAAGCCUUUAGUGUGAACUUGGGUGGAACGGCGGAUAGUGCAGAUCUUGGAGGUAGUAGCAAAUAUAAAUGUGAGAACCAUUUAGAUCGAAGUGGGGAAGGGUUUCUUGUGAACAGCAAUUGGACAAGAGUUACUCGAUCCUAAGGCAUAGGGCAAGUCCUUGGAAUGCAAAACAGUGUAUACUGUUGCUGCCAAAAGGGAAACAGGUUAAUAUUCCUGUACCGCAUAUAACUGCGAUGGGAGGACGGAGAAGGCUAGGCCAGCAACCUAUCGGAUGGUUGUUUAAGGUCGUAGGCUGGACACUUAGGCAAAUCCGGGUGUCCAUUAAGGCUGAGAACUGAUGACGAGGUCUCUUUUACGAGACUGAAGUGGUUGAUGCCAUGCUUCCAGGAAAAGUCCCUAAGCUUCAGGUUAUAUGAGACCGUACCCCAAACCGACACAGGUGGUCAGGUAGAGAAUACUAAGGCGCUUGAGAGAACUCGGGUGAAGGAACUAGGCAAAAUCGUACCGUAACUUCGGGAGAAGGUACGCUCCGAUUGGUGAUGAGACUUGCUCUCUAAGCUGAUUGGAGCCGCAGUGACCAGGUGGCUGGGACUGUUUAUUAAAAACACAGCACUGUGCAAAAUCGCAAGAUGACGUAUACGGUGUGACACCUGCCCGGUGCCGGAAGGUUAAUUGAUGGGGUUAGUUUUCGGACGAAGCUCUUGAUCGAAGCCCCGGUAAACGGCGGCCGUAACAAUAACGGUCCUAAGGUAGCGAAAUUCCUUGUCGGGUAAGUUCCGACCUGCACGAAUGGUGUAACCAUGGCCACGCUGUCUCCACCCGAGACUCAGUGAAAUUGAAAUCGCAGUGAAGAUGCUGUGUACCCGCGGCUAGACGGAAAGACCCCGUGAACCUUUACUACAGCUUGGCACUGAACAUUGAACCUACAUGUGUAGGAUAGGUGGGAGACUUUGAAGCUAAGACGCUAGUCUUAGUGGAGUCAUCCUUGAAAUACCACCCUUGAUGAAUUGGUAAUCUAACCUGCUUCCAUUAUCUGGAAGGGGGACAGUGCAUGGUGGGUAGUUUGACUGGGGCGGUCGCCUCCAAAAGAGUAACGGAGGCGCUCAAAGGUACCCUCAAUAUGGUCAGAAACUAUAUGUAGAGCGCAAAGGUAAAAGGGUGCUUAACUGCGAGACCUACAAGUCGAGCAGAGUCGAAAGACGGACUUAGUGAUCCGGCGAUUCCGUGUGGAAGGGUCGUCGCUCAACGGAUAAAAGCUACCCCGGGGAUAACAGGCUUAUUUUCUCCAAGAGAUCAUAUCGACGAGAAAGUUUGGCACCUCGAUGUCGGCUCAUCGCAUCCUGGAGCUGUAGUAGGUUCCAAGGGUUAGGCUGUUCGCCUAUUAAAGCGGUACGUGAGCUGGGUUCAGAACGUCGUGAGACAGUUCGGUCCCUAUCUGUUGUGGGCGUUGGAAUAUUGAUGAGAUCUGCUCUUAGUACGAGAGGACCAGAGUGGACGAACCGAUGGUGAACCAGUUGUCUUGCCAAAGGCAUAGCUGGGUAGCUAAGUUCGGAAAGGAUAACCGCUGAAAGCAUCUAAGUGGGAAGCCUACUUAAAGAUUAAUAUUCCCUUGAGAUUCCUUGUAGACUACGAGGUUGAUAGGCUGGACGUGUAAGUGUAGCGAUACAUUAAGCUUACCAGUACUAAUAAAUCGAUAGGUUUAAAACU